UACGGUUACCUUGUUACGACUUCAUCCCAGUUACCAAUCCCACCUUAGGCAGCUCCUUCCCAAUAAAGGGUUAGGCCACUGACUUCGGGUGUUACCGACUUCCGUGAUGUGACGGGCGGUGCGUACAAGCCCCGAGAACGUAUUCACCGUGGCAUAGCUGAUCCACGAUUACUAGCGACUCCGGCUUCAUGAAGUCGAGUUGCAGACUUCAAUCCGAACUGGGGACGGCUUUGAGGGAUUGGCUGACUCUUGCGAGAUCGCGGCCCACUGUACCGCCCAUUGUAGCAUGCGUGCAGCCCUGGAUAUAAGGGGCAUGAUGACUUGACAUCGUCCUCGCCUUCCUCCGUGUUGUCCACGGCAGUCUCCCAUGAGUCCCCACCAUUACGUGCUGGCAACAUAGGACAAGGGUUGCGCUCGUUGCGGGACUUAACCCAACAUCUCACGACACGAGCUGACGACAGCCAUGCACCACCUGUGAUGAGCGCCUAAGCACACUGUGUUUCCACAGCUAGACCCACCAUGUCAAACCCAGGUAAGGUUCUUCGGGUUGCAUCGAAUUAAGCCGCAUGCUCCGCCGCUUGUGCGGGGCCCCGUCAAUUCCUUUGAGUUUUAGCCUUGCGGCCGUACUCCCCAGGCGGAACACUUAAUGCGUUAGCUACGGCGCAGCAGACGUGAAUUAGUCCGCCACACCUAGUGUUC
rnacentral:rRNA from 1 species